rnacentral:rRNA from 1 species
CCUACGGGAGGCAGCAGUGAGGAAUAUUGGUCAAUGGACGAGAGUCUGAACCAGCCAAGUAGCGUGAAGGAUGACUGCCCUAUGGGUUGUAAACUUCUUUUAUAAAGGAACAAAACGAUGCACGUGUGCCUUUUUGCAUGUACUUUAUGAAUAAGGAUCGGCUGACUCCGUGCCAGCAGCCGCGGUUAUUCAGAGGAUCCGAGCGUUAUCCGGGUUUAAUGGGUUUAAAGGGAGCGUAGAUGGGUUGUUAAGUCAGUUGUGAAAGUUUGCGGCUCAACCGUAAAAUUGCACUUGAUACUGGCAGUCUUGAGUACAGUUGAGGUAAGCGGAAUUCGUGGUGUAGCGGUGAAAUGCAUAGAUAUCACGAAGAACCCCGAUUGCGAAGGCAGCUUACUAAACUGUGACUGACAUUGAUGCACGAAAGUGUGGGUAUCAAACAGGAUUAGAUACCCGUGUAGUC